GGGGAAUCUUCCGCAAUGGGCGAAAGCCUGACGGAGCAACGUCGCGUGAGGGAGGAAGGUCUUUGGAUUGUAAACCUCUUUUCUCAAGGAAGAAGUUCUGACGGUACUUGAGGAAUCAGCCUCGGCUAACUCCGUGCCAGCAGCCGCGGUAAUACGGGGGAGGCAAGCGUUAUCCGGAAUUAUUGGGCGUAAAGCGUCCGCAGGUGGUCAGCCAAGUCUGCUGUCAAAUCAGGUUGCUUAACGACCCAAAGGCGGUGGAAACUGGCAGACUAGAGAGCAGUAGGGGUAGCAGGAAUUCCCAGUGUAGCGGUGAAAUGCGUGGAGAUUGGGAAGAACAUCGGUGGCGAAAGCGUGCUACUGGGCUGUAUCUGACACUCAGGGACGAAAGCUAGGGGAGCGAAAGGGAUUAGAUACCCCUGUAGUC
rnacentral:rRNA from 1 species